rnacentral:rRNA from 1 species
CAGUAGCCGCGGUAAUACGUAGGUGGCAAGCGUUGUCCGGAAUUAUUGGGCGUAGAGGGCUCGCAGGCGGUUUCUUAAGUCUGAUGUGAAAGCCCCCGGCUCAACCGGGGAGGGUCAUUGGAAACUGGGAAACUUGAGUGCAGAAGAGGAGAGUGGAAUUCCACGUGUAGCGGUGAAAUGCGUAGAGAUGUGGAGGAACACCAGUGGCGAAGGCGGCUCUCUGGUCUGUAACUGACGCUGAGGAGCGAAAGCGUGGGGAGCGAACAGGAUUAGAUACCCGAGUAGUCCCUGUCUCUUAUAC